AGAACGAACGCUGGCGGCAUGCCUAAUACAUGCAAGUCGAACGAACACUUCGGUGUUAGUGGCGCACGGGUGCGUAACGCGUGGGAAUCUGCCCUUGGGUUCGGAAUAACAGUUGGAAACGACUGCUAAUACCGGAUGAUAUCGAAAGAUCAAAGAUUUAUCGCCCAGGGAUGAGCCCGCGUAGGAUUAGCUAGUUGGUGAGGUAAAGGCUCACCAAGGCGACGAUCCUUAGCUGGUCUGAGAGGAUGAUCAGCCACACUGGGACUGAGACACGGCCCAGACUCCUACGGGAGGCAGCAGUAGGGAAUAUUGGACAAUGGGCGCAAGCCUGAUCCAGCAAUGCCGCGUGGGUGAUGAAGGCCUUA
rnacentral:rRNA from 1 species